GUGCUCACUUCAGCAGCACCUACACUAAAAUUGGAACGAUACAGAGAGGAGCCUGGCCCCUGCACAAGGAUGACACGCAAAUUCGUGGAACAUUCCAUACUUAA